GUUAGGAAUAUUGGACAAUGGGCGCAAGCCUGAUCCAGUCAUGCCGCGUGAACGAUGAAGGCCUUCGGGUUGUAAAGUUCUUUAGCCGAUGAUUAUAAUGACUGUAGUCGGAAAAUAAGCCCCGGCUAACUUCGUGCCAGCAGCCGCGGUAAUACGAAGGGGGCGAGCGUUAUUCGGAAUCACUGGGCGUAAAGCGUGCGUAGGCGGUCUCGUAAGUUAGGAGUGAAAGCCCAGGGCUCAACCUUGGAAUUGCUCUUAAAACUGCAAGGCUAGAAUCUCGGAGAGGAUAGCGGAAUUUCCAGUGUAGCAGUGAAAUGCGUAGAUAUUGGAAGGAACACCAGUGGCGUAAGCGGCUAUCUGGACGAGUAUUGACGCUGAGGCACGAAAGCGUGGGGAUCAAACAGGAUUAGAAACCCCGGUAGUCC
rnacentral:rRNA from 1 species